GGUUAAAAACACACACACACACACACAGAGACAGACACAGACACAGACACACACAGUGGUGCUCAGGGAUCUGCGGUUUAAACCACUGACGGAAAACAGGAGAUAAAGUCGCAGCUCGAUCGGAUCAGUCAACAAAACGUCUCUCGGUCCUCUGCUACAACACGAACCGGAUCCGGUUUGUGGAGAUUCGACCUCAGUCAGCCGGAGGCGGACGUGUUUCUGUGAUGGAGUUUCCAGAUUUAGGCGAACACUGCUCCGAGAAGACCUGCAAGCGUUUAGAUUUUCUUCCCAUGAGAUGUGACGCCUGUCAAGAGAUUUUCUGCAAGGAUCACAUAACCUAUGCGAAUCACAAAUGCACGUCGUCCUAUAAAAAGGACAUCCAGGUCCCAGUAUGUCCUUUGUGCAACAUCCCCAUCCCCAUCAAGAGAGGGGAGAUGCCUGACAUUAAAGUCGGUGAACACAUCGAUCGCGACUGCAAAUCGGAUCCUGCACAGAGAAAGAGAAAAAUUUUCACAAAUAAAUGUUCUAAAGGAGGCUGUAAGCAGAAGGAAAUGAUGCGCGUCACCUGUGACCAGUGCCGUUUUAAUUACUGUCUUAAACACCGGCAUCCACUAGACCAUGAUUGUAAGACUGACGGGCAACCUUUGUCCAAACCUGGAAAUGCUGCUGUAAUGAGAGCCCAAAGUGCUUCCUCCACCUUCACCUCUGCCUCCUGCUCCGGUUCAUCUGCUGCUUCAGGAAACAUUAGACCUGUUCCUAGCGGUGUGAUGGCAAAUACCAGAGGCCACAACAGUGGCACUACCCAGCGGAUCCCCACUUCUGUUUCCGCACAGAGCGUAAUACCGCCUUCAGCUUCAUUUCAGGCCGGCAUGACGGAGGAGCAGGCUUUACAAAGGGCUCUGGAGAUGUCUCUGGCUGAGUCGGGGCCGCCGGUGCAGCCGGCCCUCAGGUGAGUACACUUCAUCCAAACCUUUGAAUUACUCGUGUCCGUGCGGCGGAGUCUUCUCUUCAUUUAGCUCCAGCAUCAAACAGCUGUAUCAUAACAGAGAGGAAUGAUCGGGCCGAAGAGUGUGUGACCGCCCUCAGGAGCAGGAGGAUCUGGCUCUCGCUCAGGCUCUCGCUGCCAGUGAAGAAGAGUUCCGACGCCAGCAGCAGAGACAACAGGGAAGAGAGACCAAACAGUCCAACUGCAGCCUUUCCUAGACAUAGGCCACCAUUUAAACUUGGGGCUGUGCUAUUUUAUCUACUAACUAGACACUGCACAUCUGGGAUUUCAAUAUCCACGAUCAAUGAUUGUCACAUGAAGAAAUACUCUUGGAAGUUGCUCAGAUGUUACCGCCUUCAACAAUAUAAGCACAUACUUUCCCAGCAGGAUCUGUCAUUUUUACCAAUGAUUUGCUCUGUACCUAUUUUAUAUGCUGAUUGUGAUUAAUCCAUUAUAUUACCAUAUAUGAAUAUUGAAUAAAUUAUUUCAAAGAUG